AUACUACUCCCUCCGACUCAUAUUACUUGUCGAAAUAUCACAUGUAUCUACACGUUUUUUAAACAUAGAUACAUCCAUAUUUGGACAAAUUUGAGACAAGUAAUAUGGGUCGGAGGGAGUAGCAU
rfam:Brachypodium distachyon strain Bd21 chromosome 3, whole genome shotgun sequence.